UACGUAGGGGGCAAGCGUUGUCCGGAUUUAUUGGGCGUAAAGAGCUCGUAGGCGGCUUGGCAAGUCGGGUGUGAAAGCCCCGGGCUCAACCUGGGAAUUGCAUUCGAGACUGAAUAGCUAGGGUACGGUAGAGGGAAGUGGAAUUUCCGGUGUAGCGGUGAAAUGCGUAGAUAUCGGAAGGAACAUCAGUGGCGAAAGCGACUUCCUGGACCAGUACCGACGUUCAGGCACGAAAGCGUGGGGAGCAAACAGG
rnacentral:rRNA from 1 species